AAUAUAUAAUUUUGACGUGUAAGCAUUUUAUAAACCGUUGAUUACAUCCAAGAGCCUGAAUUAUUUAUUUAACUCCUACCAUCUAAUUUAAAAAAGAUGUUGUAUCUAUAUAUAUAUGGAUCUUAUAUCAAUGAUCCAAGCCAUUAGAUAUAAUAUUGGAAGGAUCCCUCAUAAGUGCGAAAUAUGGAUUCCUACCCAAAAUCGCAAUACUAUUGAUAAUGUAGAUACCACAGA
rnacentral:lncRNA from 1 species